GGAAUAUUGGUCAAUGGACGUAAGUCUGAACCAGCCAAGUAGCGUGCAGGAUGACGGCCCUAUGGGUUGUAAACUGCUUUUAUAUAGGGAUAAAGUCGGGGACGUGUCCCCGUUUGUAGGUACUAUAUGAAUAAGGACCGGCUAAUUCCGUGCCAGCAGCCGCGGUAAUACGGAAGGUCCGGGCGUUAUCCGGAUUUAUUGGGUUUAAAGGGAGCGCAGGCUGAUUGUUAAGCGUGACGUGAAAUGUAGCCGCUCAACGGCUGAACUGCGUCGCGAACUGGCAGUCUUGAGUGAGUACGACGUCAGCGGAAUUCGUGGUGUAGCGGUGAAAUGCUUAGAUAUCACGAAGAACCCCGAUUGCGAAGGCAGCUGACGAGUCCUUUACUGACGCUAAAGCUCGAAGGUGCGGGUAUCGAACA
rnacentral:rRNA from 1 species